rnacentral:rRNA from 1 species
UGUAAGCGGAUACCAAAGUUGUUGCAGUUAAAACGCUCGUAGUCGGAAUUUGGCAGUUCCGGAUGUGUGCACGUCGUGUGCGCACUUCGCGGGGAUUGCUUUUGUGGUCUUGCGUAGGAUGAGGCACUUUUAUUAGUGAACGUCCUCACGCAACCACUUUUUACUGUGAGAAAAUCAGAGUGCUCAAAGCAGGCAUUUGCCGUGAAUGUAUUAGCAUGGAAUAAUAGAAUAGGACUUGGUUCUAUUUUGUUGGUUUGUUGGGACUGAGUAAUGAUUAAGAGGGACAGUUGGGGGCAUUUGUAUUUCGGUGCUAGAGGUGAAAUUCUUAGAUUACCGAAAGACAAACUGCUGCGAAAGCGUCUGCCAAGGAUGUUUUCAUUGA